rnacentral:siRNA from 1 species
UUGAAUUGGUCAACAUGUAUG